rnacentral:lncRNA from 1 species
AUCAGAACUUCCUCUUUUCCAGGUGGAAAAAUCAGAAUGCAACUCAGAUUUCACAUGUUUCCCUCCCACACUUUCCGUGGUGGCUGUUUGGGCACUGAGGGUGAUAAUGUUUUCUUUUCCACUGUCCCAUCAACACAGAACCCGGCUUCCUGACAUCACAGAAGCCCUCUGUGCCAGGACAACCAAUUAGGCAUCGAUGCAUUGAGGAGCCUGCAGUUCUAGGACUCAUUGUUUCCAUGUGUCUUCCACGAGCAGGGGCGGUUGCCUUCCAGAGCCACGGAGGCUCCAUGUGUGUCAGACUCUCUGACAGAAUGAUUUGCAGACAUCUCUUUAGGGGUACGUGGCCCAUUUUGUGGAUUUCGUAUUAUCUAAAUCACAUUCUGACUCCUUUUUGCCAUUUGUCACACACCUGAACCCUUUGUGUCCCCCCUUCUAAGCUGUCAUCGUGUGGUUACUUGGCAAUUGCCAACUGGUUUUUCAUAUUAUUCCAAGAAAAACAUCAUUAGGAAGGGUGCGCCUGUGGCCAAAUCCGUUGCUGAAUGGUCUGCAAAGCCAAAUAGAAAUAAAUUGGAGGUAUCUGAGCUGAAGGCCUCUCGGCCAGCAAGGGAAGGGAAACUUGACUCUUUAAACACGAAAAAUGGUUGAGUGGCCCUUGCUGCACUGCAGAAAGUUUUCCCUAAAUAAAAUCGCUUGUAGAAAUGUCCCCUUUCUCCUCGGGUCUUCUUGCAAAGAUGCUGUAGAAAGAAGACUGUUUUCUGUACAAGAGCUGCAACAUUUUGGAGAAGGCAGUUCAAAGUCCUCUCCCUUAGGGCUGCUCUCAUUUCUCAUCCUCCAUCUCCUCAACAUUCACCCAACUUCCCGUCCCCACCUCACCUCUUCCUCCACCACUCCCUGCACCUACCUUCACUGUCAUACAAUCCCUCGGACACAAAGCAGAAAAACCAAGUUACCUACAAGGGUUGAAUUUAAGCUGGAACCACACAUCUCAACAGCAUGAGACAGAAGAUCAUGAAUUGCAAGGAAACAAACACGACUCAAGAAUUUUACACAUGAGGAAGCUGUCCUUCAAGUUCAAAAGCAAAGCCAAGAUAAAACAUACCCCACAUUGAGAACGUAGCUUAACGUGCCCUUGGAGAAAAGUUAAAAAGACUUGUCUAUCAAGUCCAGCCAACCAAAAGAUGAAUCAAAAUAAAGAACCCAGACAAAGACA